rnacentral:lncRNA from 1 species
UAUCAAUGAUGAAUAAAGAAAGGCUUGUUUCUCAUGAACAUUCGCAGUGGCCGCCUGAUUGAACUUUCGCCUUCGCCAGGCUUGAGAGUUCAUGCUGUUUCAUCCUUCCUUGGAUGUCUGAGAUCUUCCUUCCUCUGUUUGUUCGUAGAAAUCGUCGAUAUGUUUUUUUCAAUGUGUAUGAAACUGGUGAUGAUAUCUUUAAGGCUUGUUUCUCAGAAACAUUCGCAGUGGCCGACCAAGAGCUUUCGCCUUCGCCAGGCUUGAGAGCUUGUGCUGUUUUGCUCCUUCCUUGGAUGUCUGAAGUUCUAUUUCAUUUAUUUAUUUAUAGAGAAUUAGGGUGGGUUUCUCAGUGAUGAUUUCAAUAGAUGACGAGUCUGAUAAAUUAUCCAUUCCAUUCAGUAUGAAGACCAAUCGAGGCAUUUGUCUGAGAGAU